GAUGAAUAACGUAGCGAAAUGCGAUAAGUAAUGUGAAUUGCAGAAUUCAGUGAACCAUCGAAUCUUUGAACGCACAUUGCGCCCGGCAGUAAUCUGCCGGGCAUGCCUGUCCGAGCGUCAUUUCUCCCCUCGAGCGCAGCUUUCCCCCCCGGGGGAGGGCCGCGCCCGGUGUUGGGGCGCUACGGAGGAGCCCAGCGCUCCCCCGUAGGCCCCGAAAUGUAGUGGCGGUCCCGCCGCGGCGCCCCCUGCGUAGUAGUUUUACAACUCGCAUCGGGUCCCGGCGGAGGCCAGCCGUCAAACCCCCCAACUUCAAUAGUUUGACCUCGGAUCAGGUAGGGUUACCCGCUGAACUUAAGCAUAUCAAUAAGCGGAGGA
rnacentral:misc_RNA from 1 species